UAGCCAGUACCCACAUGUGGCAAUUUAGAUUUCAGUUUAAGCGAAUUAAAAUAAAAUUUUAACUGUUCAGAUCCUUGGUCGCAGCAGCCAUAGCGUGCUUGAGAGCGUCAUGCGGCGGAUGUAGAGGGCAGUGCAGACGUAGAACAUCUCCGUCACCGCAGAGGUCCCCGGGCACCACUGGCCUAAGGGCAGAAGUCGCCAUGACGACAUGAACUCCUUGAUUCCGGAAUGAGAGGACCAUGGAGAACUCGACCAAAGCCCAGUGACAAUCUCCUUGUGAGUCGUUGGUUCUACUG
rnacentral:lncRNA from 12 species